GUGAAGUGAUGAUGAAGUUUAUCCAUUCUCUGAGUGUUGCUGCUCUGCCCUUCCUGCCACAUUCAGAUUCCUGUUCUAGGAUUUUGGAUGUUUGGCCGUCAGGCAUGUUUCAGCCUUCCAGUGUUCUACUGGGGGCUGGAAGCAUGUCUGUCUGGCUGCUGGCAAGGCAUGGGCAGAGAAUGCAGGGCCAGAGCCCCUUCCUGAGGGGCUCUGGCACAAACCAAGAAGAAUGAAACUGUCUGAUCAC